rnacentral:rRNA from 1 species
CAAAACUUUCAACAACGGAUCUCUUGGCUCUGGCAUCGAUGAAGAACGCAGCGAAACGCGAUAAGUAAUGUGAAUUGCAGAAUCCAGUGAAUCAUCGAAUCUUUGAACGCACAUUGCGCCCGCCAGCAUUCUGGCGGGCAUGCCUGUUCGAGCGUCA